UACGGGGGGGGCAAGCGUUGUUCGGAAUUACUGGGCGUAAAGGGUGCGUAGGCGGUCCGCUAAGUUGGAUGUGAAAACUCUGGGCUUAACCCAGAGCCUGCAUUCAAAACUGACGGGCUAGAGUUCUGGAGGGGGUAGCGGAAUUCCUGGUGUAGCGGUGAAAUGCGUAGAUAUCAGGAGGAACACCUGUGGCGAAAGCGGCGCACUGGACCACAACUGACGCUGAGGCGCGAAAGCUAGGGGAGCAAACAGG
rnacentral:rRNA from 1 species